rnacentral:rRNA from 1 species
GGCCUAACAUGGNNNUAANGGGUAACGGGAUGUUAGGGCACGACACCGGAGAGGGAGCCUGAGAAACGGCUACCACAUCCAAGGAUGGCAGCGGGCGCGCAAAUUACCCAAUCCCGACACGGGGAGGUAGUGACAAUAAAUAACAAUACGGGUUCUUUCGGAUUUCGUAAUUGGAAUGAGUACAAUUUAAAUCUCUUAACGAGGAACAAUUGGAGGGCAAGUCUGGUGCCAGCAGCCGCGGUAAUUCCAGCUCCAAUAGCGUAUAUUAAAGUUGCUGCAGUUAAAAAGCUCGUAGUUGAAUUUCGGGACCAAUAUGUCGGUCGUGCCUCGGUACGUACUGGCAUCGUUGGUUUCUCCCUUCUGACGAACCAUGAUGUCAUUUAUUUGGUGUCGUGAGGAAUCAGGACUGUUACUUUGAAAAAAUUAGAGUGUUUAAAGCAGGCUCACGCUUGAAUACAUUAACAUGGAAUAAUGAAAUAGGACGUUUGAUUCUAUUUUGUUGGUUUCCAGGAUCGACGUAAUGAUUAAUAGGGAUAGUUGGGGGCAUUAGUAUUCAAUUGUCAGAGGUGAAAUUCUUGGAUUUAUUGAAGACUAACUACUGCGAAAGCAUUUGCCAAGGAUGUUUUCAUUAAUCAAGAACGAAAGUUAGGGGAUCGAAGACGAUCAGAUACCGUCGUAGUCUUAACCAUAAACUAUGCCGACUAGGGAUCGGAUGAUGUUAAUUUUUUAAUGACUCAUUCGGCGCCUUACGGGAAACNAAGUGUUUGGGUUC